rnacentral:rRNA from 1 species
AACGCGAAGAACCUUACCUACCCUUGACAUGCCAGGAACUUACCAGAGAUGGUUUGGUGCUCGAAAGAGAGCCUGGACACAGGUGCUGCAUGGCUGUCGUCAGCUCGUGUCGUGAGAUGUUGGGUUAAGUCCCGCAACGAGCGCAACCCUUGUCAUUAGUUGCUACGCAAGAGCACUCUAAUGAGACCGCCGGUGACAAACCGGAGGAAGGUGGGGAUGACGUCAAGUCCUCAUGGCCCUUACGGGUUGGGCUACACACGUGCUACAAUGGUGGUGACAAUGGGCCAAUCCCAAAAAGCCAUCUCAGUUCGGAUUGGGGUCUGCAACUCGACCCCAUGAAGUCGGAAUCGCUAGUAAUCGCGUAACAGCAUGACGCAGUGAAUACGUUCCCGGGUCUUGUACACACCGACGGUGUGUACAAGACCC